ensembl:snoRNA SNORA70 Small nucleolar RNA SNORA70
CUGCAGCUAAUUAUGCCAACUGCUCUAUUUCCUGUGGGGGACUGGUGUGCAAUGGCUGCAAACAGCAGCCUCUUUGGUAGUGUAUGCAGCAUGUUGUUUGUAUGAAUUGCCUUAGGGGACCUUGCAGACAGCC